CUCUUUGUGGGUUUGCCUUGGCGUUCUCCAGCGGUAGAGAAAAUGCCCCAGUUAAUUUUCCCAUCCCAAUAAUAGCAGAAGGGUCGACUUUAGUGGUCACUUGAAGCCCUUCUUUUUUCAGUAGGAGGAUCCUGUAUGUUUGAUCUAGAUUCGGUCUCCCGCUGGACAGGCCUAAACAAUUUAAAACAAACAGCACUAACAGGAAAUCUUCUUAGGGUCAGGAAUGCAACGAAAAUAGCUCUAAGUCUUUAAUUCCAGGAGCUGCAAUUCACCACUUGGCUGCUUGGUCUGAGUUUUUAGAGGAACAAUGGGUCCUGUUCAGCACUAGAACACCCUGACUUUCUUUCCAGGAUUUUUGAAGGGUAUGUGCUUUGGUAUCUGAAUUAUAGCAGGUAUGCAUUUCCCUAUUGGGCCACAGGCUUAGCUAUAAUAGGCUGUACUGACCUUACUUUUGUGAUUGAAGGAAAUGAAAUGAAAAUGGAUGAAGGAAAUGGAGGAAAUGAUGAUCACUUUCCUCACUUCACAGGGGAGUAGUGGGGGUAGAAAAGUGUUUCAUAAACUAUUUAAGUGGAAUAUAAUUAUGUUUUUUGAUGACAAUCAUAGGAAGCAACAUGGUACAAUGACUCAAGUUGGAAGACCCAUUCUCUCUCUGACAUUUCUGGGUGAUGUGUCUUUGGAUGAGUCAUUAUUGAACUUUCAUGGACUUCAGUUUCUUUAUUUGUAAAAUGGGGGGUGAGGUGCACUAGAUGACUCUUGAUGUCUCUUCCAGCUCAGCAUUAAUGAAUUGAUGAUUCUUCUUUCCUGUCUAGGAGAGGCGGGACUCAGCAAGAGAUGUGUGAAUCAAUUGCUGGGACCUCACUUCUCUAAAAUCAGAUGUCUGAUGGAACUGACUAGGGGGCCAAGCUGUGUUAUCCUGAAGCCCAGAGGGGUCGGCCAAUAUUUGGAGAUGAAUAAACCCUGGAAAUGUCCAGAACUGCUGAUACUCUUGGAUCUGCCAAGUUUUGAGAUGAACCGACAAUGUCUGUGCAUGUGCAUGUGUGUGUAUGUGUAUGCAAGUGUGUGUAUUUGCAGCAAAAAUACACAGAGGGCACUCAUUGGGUCAGAAGGACUGGCUAAUCAGAAACACAUUUUGAAUAUGGCAGCAGACAUAUUCUGACCGGCACCUCAUGAAGCCAAACACCGUGUCAUUGGGUUUACUACUCCCCUUACAACUAUCCCUCUGUACUCUUGAGUUGGAACAUUUCUUCCUCCUACUUUUUUGCCUCCUAGAAGAAAGAAGAAAGAAAGAAAGAAGGAAGAAAGAAGAAUGGAAGAAGAAAGAAGAAGGAAAGAAGAAAGAUACAGAGCCUCUAGGGCCAGAAUAUCUUGAAUACGGAAUAAAAAUGAUGAAUAGACCA
rnacentral:lncRNA from 1 species